rnacentral:rRNA from 1 species
AGUGAACGCUGGCGGUAGGCCUAACACAUGCAAGUCGAACGGCAGCACAGGAGAGCUUGCUCUCUGGGUGGCGAGUGGCGGACGGGGGAGGAAUACAUCGGAAUCUACUUUUUCGUGGGGGACAACGUAGGGAAACUUACGCUAAUACCGCAUACGACCUACGGGUGAAAGCAGGGGAUCUUCGGACCUUGCGCGAUUGAAUGAGCCGAUGUCGGAUUAGCUAGUUGGCGGGGUAAAGGCCCACCGAGGCGACGAUGCGUAGCUGGUCUGAGAGGAUGAUCAGCACACUGGAACUGAGACACGGUCCAGACUCCUACGGGAGGCAGCAGUGGGGAAUAUUGGACAAUGGGCGCAAGCCUGAUCCAGCCAUACCGCGUGGGUGAAGAAGGCCUUCGGGUUGUAAAGCCCUUUUGUUGGAAAAGAAAUCCAGCUGGUUAAUACCCGGUUGGGAUGACGGUACCCAAGGAAUAAGCACCGGCUAACUUCGUGCCAGCCGCCGCGGUAA